rnacentral:lncRNA from 1 species
AACUGGAAAGUUCUUUUUAAUAAUACUUACUUUACUGUGAUAUGUUAUGCUACUUACAAAUCCCCAAAUGAGAAACAAGUGUUGAAGAGAAAAAAGAUUACAACACACAGGAUAACUGACUCCAUACUUAUUCAUCAGGACAUACUAUAAUGUAUUUCCUUAACAGUCACGUUGUCUGUUUGUGAAGGUUGUCUUCUGUUUACUAACCCCUUACUGUAACUAAGAUUCUUCAGCCACCAAUUUCACACUGAGUGGAAAUAAAUUUUGGUCUUGCAAUUGAGUAAAAACUAUUUUGUUAGAAACUGGCAUUACCAAGUUGAGAGUACCACAAAGCAUUAUAUCUGGUUUAUAUCAAAUCAUUUUUUUUGUUUUAUUU